rfam:Erysipelotrichaceae bacterium NYT-BL-A4 NODE_45_length_13740_cov_290.546_ID_89, whole genome shotgun sequence.
AAGAUUGUUAUCAAUAUUCCAAAGACAGUAACGGCGCAAGCUUAAUCAAGUUACCGAGGGGUUAUACAUUCCUAAGCUUUUUAUGUAUGCCUGCUCAUGCAGGCUUUUCUUUUGAAUAU